CAGACCGACGGACGAGUCGCACUCAUCCAGAGACAGGUGCUCCGGGCUUUUUGGGUUUCUUCUCAUGGUCACCUGACCUGCAGCUUACGUGACAUCCUCAGGGUGACACAGUCAGUGUGUAGAAAGGAACGAGUGACCACGUGACUCGACGUCUAAUUCUGUAGUCCGGGGGAGCGCAGCUACUGACCAGGACCACAGGAUACUCGGACCUCCGCUAACACAGCUGCUGUUCCUGCCUCCUUGUCCGAGUGGAUGUUCUCUGCAGGCUCCGCUUUCCUUUCGCAUCUCAAAGGACUGAAAGCUUAGGAGAGCUUAUGCACUACGAACUCAGAGGACAAGUUGGACUUGACAGCAUCCACAGAUGCACUUCUGCCAUCCAAUCGGACCCAAAAGGAAGAAAAUCUCGACACACGAGAGAGGAGACAUCGAUGGAUGACAGAUGGGACAAAAACUCUGAAGAUGGGCAGCUUAAAAGACCACCCCAAGGACAAGCGAGCAACUUGGGGUGUAAAAGGAAAGAACAAAAAAAGAGAAAAAGCAUUAAAGUUAAAGAAGGAACUCCAGAAAUUAAAAGAAAGACAGAAAACAGGAAUUGGCAAACACGGAGUAGAGGCCAGCUGUUUUCUUACCCACUGGGAUUAAAGACCCUGCCUGAAGGAGAUAAGGACAGCAGAAUGACACAGUGAGUCGCAGCAGAAGCAAAUCAAAGUCCUCGGUUUAUGAAAGAUGGUAAACAUUGAAGAUCUGAUUGUGUGGCUGGGAAGUAAAUUAGUUGGGCUAAAAAUAAAGGUGAAAGCAAAUGAGGUGUCAUCGGUGUGAAAAGACCUCCUGAUUAAAAGCAAAAGGACUGGAGUAUGUUAGGCCAGGUGUUUCUUUGCUGCUUUAAAUCUAAAUGUCCACAAAGGAAAAGCUUGCUUUCUAUUACUGUAUAUGUUGAAGCAAUGAGAAAGGAAGGAUCAAAAGGUGAAAUAUUAAAAUAGAAGAAGAAGAAGAAACAGAAACCACCACCCAUUUUGUUUAUCCAAAAGGGAACUUUACAACAUCUACUCUCAGGACAUAGCAAGAGUCAGUGUGCUCAGUUUUACAUUUUAUUUUCUAAAAUGGCCAUCCAUCACAUAUUGAUCCUGGUUAUUCCAGGUCAUCAUUGUAAUGUCUGGUGCCUAGUUCUGGAAGUCCGACUUAAUUAUCAUCAUCACAAAGACAUAGGGUAAAUAUUCUUGUUUUUUUUUGGUUUUUA